UUCUCCCCAGGAUUUUUGGAUAGCACCAGGGUAACGCGUGACGAAAUGAAUUUUACAAUAUUUUGUGUCGCGUUGCGUCGCUUAUUUUUUUCUUGUUGGUUUUUGUCAUUACCUUUUUGCCUUUGUUUUGUUUACUGUGGUACUGUGUUGUAUGGACUUUGGGUCAGAACAUUAUUGGUAGAAAAAGUAAAUCAAUAUAACAGUUUUUAUACUUUAAUAUCUUACUUCUUAUAUUUGGAUCAAGCCAUUUUGUCCCAAUACUUGAAGUUACACUACACAUUCCCCAUGUUAGAUUUGACCAUAACAAUGAACUUUGAACAAGAUUAAUUUUUGUUACAGAA
rnacentral:lncRNA from 1 species